GGGGACCAUCCUCCAAGGCUAAAUACUCCUGACUGACCGAUAGUGAACCAGUACCGUGAGGGAAAGGCGAAAAGAACCCCGGCGAGGGGAGUGAAAAAGAACCUGAAACCGUGUACGUACAAGCAGUGGGAGCACGCUUAGGCGUGUGACUGCGUACCUUUUGUAUAAUGGGUCAGCGACUUAUAUUCUGUAGCAAGGUUAACCGAAUAGGGGAGCCGAAGGGAAACCGAGUCUUAACUGGGCGUUAAGUUGCAGGGUAUAGACCCGAAACCCGGUGAUCUAGCCAUGGGCAGGUUGAAGGUUGGGUAACACUAACUGGAGGACCGAACCGACUAAUGUUGAAAAAUUAGCGGAUGACUUGUGGCUGGGGGUGAAAGGCCAAUCAAACCGGGAGAUAGCUGGUUCUCCCCGAAAGCUAUUUAGGUAGCGCCUCGUGAAUUCAUCUCCGGGGGUAGAGCACUGUUUCGGCAAGGGGGUCAUCCCGACUUACCAACCCGAUGCAAACUGCGAAUACCGGAGAAUGUUAUCACGGGAGACACACGGCGGGUGCUAACGUCCGUCGUGAAGAGGGAAACAACCCAGACCGC
rnacentral:rRNA from 1 species